AACGAACGCUGGCGGCAUGCCUAACACAUGCCAGUCGAACGAGACCUUCGGGUCUAGUGGCGCACGGGUGCGUAACGCGUGGGAACCUGCCCCUAGGUUCGGAAUAACUCCCCGAAAGGGGUGCUAAUACCGGAUAAUGUCUUCGGACCAAAGAUUUAUCGCCUUUGGAUGGGCCCGCGUUGGAUUAGCUAGUUGGUAGGGUAAAAGCCUACCAAGGCGACGAUCCAUAGCUGGUCUGAGAGGAUGAUCAGCCACACUGGGACUGAGACACGGCCCAGACUCCUACGGGAGGCAGCAGUGGGGAAUAUUGGACAAUGGGCGAAAGCCUGAUCCAGCAAUGCCGCGUGAGUGAUGAAGGCCUUAGGGUUGUAAAGCUCUUUUACCCGGGAUGAUAAUGACAGUACCGGGAGAAUAAGCUCCGGCUAACUCCGUG
rnacentral:rRNA from 1 species